rnacentral:rRNA from 1 species
CGUAGGAGACGAGCGUUAUCCGGAUUUACUGGGCGUAAAGCGCGUGCAGGCGGUUCAGCAAGUUGGAUGUGAAAGCUCCCGGCUUAACUGGGAGAGGUCGUUCAAUACUACUGGACUUGAGAGUGGUAGAGGGAGGUGGAAUUCCGGGUGUAGUGGUGAAAUGCGUAGAUAUCCGGAGGAACACCAGUGGCGAAAGCGGCCUCCUGGACCACUUCUGACGCUCAGACGCGAAAGCUAGGGUAGCGAACGGGAUUAGAGACCCCGGUAGUCCUAGCCGUAAACGAAGUAGACUUGGCGUUGGUGGGUUCAAAUCCAUCAGUGCCGAAGCUAACGCGAUAAGUCUACCGCAUGGACUCCCCCCCCG